GAGCUCAGAGGGUUGUGGAGAACGGUGCAGAGUCUAGUUGGAGGCCUGUGGCUAGGGGGGGCCCCCCGGGGGCAGUCCUUGGUCCCGUCCUGUUCAAUUUAUUCAUCAAUGACCUGGA